rnacentral:rRNA from 1 species
AACGAACGCUGGCGGCGUGCUUAACACAUGCAAGUCGAGCGGAAAGGCCUCUUCGGGGGUACUCGAGCGGCGAACGGGUGAGUAACACGUGAGUAAUCUGCCUCUGGCUUCGGGAUAGCCACCGGAAACGGUGAUUAAUACCGGAUACGACACAUCACUGCAUGGUGCGUGUGUGGAAAGUUUUUUCGGCCAGGGAUGGGCUCGCGGCCUAUCAGUUUGUUGGUGGGGUAAUGGCCUACCAAGGCUUCGACGGGUAGCCGGCCUGAGAGGGUGACCGGCCACACUGGGACUGAGACACGGCCCAGACUCCUACGGGAGGCAGCAGUGGGGAAUAUUGGACAAUGGGCGGAAGCCUGAUCCAGCAACGCCGCGUGAGGGAUGACGGCCUUCGGGUUGUAAACCUCUUUCAGCACAGACGAAGCGCAAGUGACGGUAUGUGCAGAAGAAGGACCGGCCAACUACGUGCCAGCCGCCGCGGUAACAC